UACAGAGGUCUCGAGCGUUAGGCGGAAUCACUGGGCUUAAAGCGUGUGUAGGCGGAUCGGUAAGUACCUUGUAAAAUCCCACAGCUUAACUGUGGAACUGCUUGGUAUACUGCCAGUCUUCGAGCCAGCUAGGGGCUACCGGAACAAAUGGUGGAGCGGUGAAAUGCGUAGAUAUCAGGAGGAACACCUGUGGCGAAAGCGGCUCACUGGACCAUAACUGACGCUGAUGCACGAAAGCUAGGGGAGCAAACAGG
rnacentral:rRNA from 1 species